GUUGUUGGGUAGGGGAGCGUUCUGUAAGCCGUUGAAGGUGGCCUGUGAGGGUUGCUGGAGGUAUCAGAAGUGCGAAUGCUGACAUAAGUAACGAUAAUGCGGGUGAAAAACCCGCACGCCGGAAGACCAAGGGUUCCUGUCCAACGUUAAUCGGGGCAGGGUGAGUCGACCCCUAAGGCGAGGCUGAAAAGCGUAGUCGAUGGGAAACAGGUUAAUAUUCCUGUACUCGGUGUUACUGCGAAGGGGGGACGGAGAAAGCUAGGUUAUCCGGGCGACGGUUGUCCCGGUUUAAGCGUGAAGGUGGGUGACUUAGGUAAAUCCGGGUCAUCGUUAACACUGAGGCGUGAUGACGAGUCACUACGGUGAUGAAGUAACCAAUGCUACGCUUCCAGGAAAAGCCUCUAAGCUCCAGGUAACAUCAAAUCGUACCCCAAACCGACACAGGUGGUCAGGUAGAGAAUACUCAGGCGCUUGAGAGAACUCGGGUGAAGGAACUAGGCAAAAUGGUGCCGUAACUUCGGGAGAAGGCACGCUGGCGCGUAGGUGAAGUCCCUUGCGGAUGGAGCUGAAGCCAGUCGCAGAUACCAGCUGGCUGCAACUGUUUAAUAAAAACACAGCACUGUGCAAACACGAAAGUGGACGUAUACGGUGUGACGCCUGCCCGGUGCCGGAAGGUUAAUUGAUGGGGUCAGCCGCAAGGCGAAGCUCUUGAUCGAAGCCCCGGUAAACGGCGGCCGUAACUAUAACGGUCCUAAGGUAGCGAAAUUCCUUGUCGGGUAAGUUCCGACCUGCACGAAUGGCGUAAUGAUGGCCAGGCUGUCUCCACCCGAGACUCAGUGAAAUUGAACUCGCUGUGAAGAUGCAGUGUACCCGCGGCAAGACGGAAAGACCCCGUGAACCUUUACUAUAGCUUGACACUGAACCUUGAGCCUUGAUGUGUAGGAUAGGUGGGAGGCUUUGAAGCGUGGACGCCAGUCUGCGUGGAGCCAACCUUGAAAUACCACCCUUUAAUGUUUGAUGUUCUAACGUAGGCCCGUAAUCCGGGUUGCGGACAGUGUCUGGUGGGUAGUUUGACUGGGGCGGUCUCCUCCCAAAGCGUAACGGAGGAGCACGAAGGUUAGCUAAUCCUGGUCGGACAUCAGGAGGUUAGUGCAAAGGCAUAAGCUAGCUUGACUGCGAGAGUGACAGCUCGAGCAGGUGCGAAAGCAGGUCUUAGUGAUCCGGUGGUUCUGAAUGGAAGGGCCAUCGCUCAACGGAUAAAAGGUACUCCGGGGAUAACAGGCUGAUACCGCCCAAGAGUUCAUAUCGACGGCGGUGUUUGGCACCUCGAUGUCGGCUCAUCACAUCCUGGGGCUGAAGUAGGUCCCAAGGGUAUGGCUGUUCGCCAUUUAAAGUGGUACGCGAGCUGGGUUUAGAACGUCGUGAGACAGUUCGGUCCCUAUCUGCCGUGGGCGUUGGAAGAUUGAGAGGGGUUGCUCCUAGUACGAGAGGACCGGAGUGAACGCACCACUGGUGUACGGGUUGUGAUGCCAAUUGCAUUGCCCGGUAGCUAAGUGCGGAAGAGAUAACCGCUGAAAGCAUCUAAGCGGGAAACUUGCCUCGAGAUGAGUCUUCCCUGGACACUAGAUGUCCCUGAAGGGCCGUUGAAGACGACGACGUAGAUAGGCUGGGUGUGUAAGCGUAGCGAUACGUUGAGCUAACCAGUACUAAUGACCCGAGAGGCUUAACCUUACAACACCGAAGGUGUUU
rnacentral:rRNA from 1 species